ensembl:lncRNA
GUGGCCGUCACCCUUCGUCAGGGCAGGGUAGCAUCAGUGCUCCCGUGCUGGGGUUCCUGGAGAGCCGGCUGGCACGGACAGACUCUUGUGAGGGCAAGUGGCUGAUCGUGCGUCGGAUGGGUCCAGCAAAGGAGAGAAAGCUUCGGUGCGCGCGCGCUCGCCAGGGAAAGGGUGACAGCGGGUGGGACCGAGAGGGAGAGAGAGAGAGGGAGAGAACAAAGGAAGAGAGAGGGUUUCCGCAGGGGCGGUGAGUCCUGGCGGAAGUCCUGAGGCAGAGGAGGUGCCAGGGGUUUGGGUUUCCCGGUCGUGUCGGGGUGUGGCGCAGGUUGCCCCAGUGGGCCUGAAUGUGCCUCCGUGGGGCACCUUGUUGCCGUGUUGGGGGGCGGGGAGCCGGCCUUGGGGAUCCAUCUUUCGGGCCCUGGGACGUGGGAGAAGAAUGCCGGGGCCUCUCUCUGUGCCCCUGGCACGCCUCUGUGCAGGCCGGGCCUGCACCACCCCCCGCCCGUCCCCAGGCAGGGUCCGUGUGGCUGCAGACACCCAGAGAGAGGGGAGGCUGGGGAGGCUGGGGAGCCGUGGCAGCCCGAUGCAGUGCGGGUCUCCAGGUGGAGGGGCCCUGGUCCCCUGGCGCCAGCGUGGCCCUUCCUCCUUGUGGAAACCCUUGUGGUGUGUGUGCUCUCUCGCCCUGACCCAGGAGAGCAGCAUGGCGGACCCCUGAUCUUGUGGCGUGCCACCGCGCGAGGCCGAGGAGCUCCCGCAGACCAGUGGGCGUGGCGUCCUUGUCGCGGCUCUGUGGAGACCUGGCGAUGGAGAGCAGCAUGGCGGACCCCUGAUCUUGUGGCGUGCCACCGCGCGAGGCCGAGGAGCUCCCGCAGACCAGUGGGCGUGGCGUCCUUGUCGCGGCUCUGUGGAGACCUGGCGAUGGUGAGCGGCCCCUGUCCUCAGUGGUGGAGAACUCGCCCUUGGGGCGCUCGUCUGUCCGGAGCCCCGGGCCAGCCCCGCUUCUCGCGGGCUUUGGCCCCGGCAGGCCAGCUCCGGGGCGUGAGGGGGAGCGUCCCGUCCUGCCCAGUGGCUCGUCUGUCUGGGCACGCCCCCAAACGCUGCCGUGAUGGAGCGGGUGGGAUGUCCAGGUGCGGAGGCCGUGAAUUUGCCUUGCGGCGGCGGAGCCCGUGCUCGGAUCGAUGAUGACUCCCUCUAAAGCAUUCCUUGGAAAUCUGAACAAAAUGAGUGAGAACUCACUACCGUCUCCUCAUCGAAACUGAGGUCCGGCACGUGGCGGCCACCGGGGGCUCGGGGUAGAUGGGCCCUUGGCCUUGGGGCCUCUGGUGUCAGCAGCCACUCGGGUGAGGUCUGGGGAAGGCGGCCGCCUGCCGGGCCCAGGAAGCAUGGGGCCCGUCGCCCGGCGCUGGCCUCGGGGGAGAGGCCGCGUGCCCGAGCGUGCUGGAGAUCCCGGGCGGCCUCCCGCCGGCCUUGGGGGUUUCGCAAGCCGUCGCGGGGGCCGAAAUUUGGGCCCGGCCCGCGAGGCAAGUGUGCGGCCCUAGGGCCCCAGGGGGCGUCCUGGCCCAGGCCGGGCGCCCUUCUCAGGAUGCUGUGGGGAGACGGGAUCCCGGCAGGGUAGUGUUCUCUUUCUGCUCUGGGGACCCCUGAGGGCCACCUGCUGCAGGGGGUCUGUGGUAGCGGGGGCCCUUGGAUCAGGGCCGUCCCCCAUGGGAGGGGGCAGCCUGGGAACCCCUGAGGGCGCUCCCCUGGGACGUCCAGGGAUGUUGGGGCGGAGGCUGGGGCUGGGUGGCGAGAAGGGGGCAGCUGAAGUGGUGAGCGACAGGCGGGCAGAGGGAGCCUGCCGGGGACGUGGGUGGACAGGCCCACGUCUGGAUGGGCGAGGGGCUCUGGAGGAGGUGCCCUGGCCUCAAGUGGGAUGGCGUCAGCGGCUGUGGGAGGCCCGGGUAGGCAAGGACCGCGCGGGCAGGGGCGGGGACGGUCUUGCAUGUGGCCUCUCCUCUGGGAGGCGUGGCUCCCCGUGGGGGUCUGGGGAAGGCAGCCGCCAGGUCCCUGGGCCGCGGCGCGGACCG